UUGAUCCUGGCUCAGAACGAACGCUGGCGGCAGGCUUAACACAUGCAAGUCGAGCGCCCCGCAAGGGGAGCGGCAGACGGGUGAGUAACGCGUGGGAAUCUACCUUUUGCUACGGAAUAACUCAGGGAAACUUGUGCUAAUACCGUAUGUGCCCUUCGGGGGAAAGAUUUAUCGGCAAAGGAUGAGCCCGCGUUGGAUUAGCUAGUUGGUGGGGUAAAGGCCCACCAAGGCGACGAUCCAUAGCUGGUCUGAGAGGA
rnacentral:rRNA from 1 species